UACAGAGGUCUCAAGCGUUGUUCGGAUUCAUUGGGCGUAAAGGGUGCGUAGGCGGCGCGGUAAGUCGGGUGUGAAAUCUCGGAGCUUAACUCCGAAACUGCAUUCGAUACUGCCGUGCUUGAGGACUGGAGAGGAGACUGGAAUUUACGGUGUAGCAGUGAAAUGCGUAGAGAUCAUGAGGAAGACCAGUGGCGAAGGCGGGUCUCUGAACAGUUCCUGACACUGAGACACGAAGGCCAGGGGAGCAAACGGG
rnacentral:rRNA from 1 species